rnacentral:siRNA from 1 species
UGACCGAUGAACUCAUCAUGGA